rnacentral:rRNA from 1 species
AAAUCAGCACCUCAAGUGGUCAGGAUGAUUAUUGGGCCUAAAGCAUCCGUAGCCUGCUCUGUAAGUUUUCGGUUAAAUCUGUAUGCUCAACAUACAGGCUGCCGGGAAUACUGCAGGACUAGGGAGUGGGAGAGGUAGACGGUACUCGGGAGGAAGUGGUAAAAUGCUUUGAUCUCUCGAUGACCACCUGUGGCGAAGGCGGUCUACCAGAACACGUCCGACGGUGAGGGAUGAAAGCUGGGGGAGCAAACCGGAUUAGAAACCCCGGUAGUCC